AGUGAACGCUGGCGGUAUGCCUAACACAUGCAAGUCGAACGGCAGCAUAGUAAGAGCUUGCUCUUACGGGUGUCGAGUGGCGGACGGUUGAGGAAUACAUCGGAAUCUACUUUUUCGGGGGUGAUAACGUAGGGAAACGUACGCUAAUACCGCAUACGACCUACUUGUGAAAGCAGGGGAUCUUCUGACCUUUCGCGAUUGAAUGAGCCGAUGUCGGAUUAGCUAGUUGGCUGGGUAAAGGCGCACCAAGGCGACGAUCCGUAGCUGGUCCGAGAGGAUGAACCGACACACUGGAACUGAGACACGGGCGCGACUCCUAGGGGAGGAAGCGGUGGGGAAUAUUGGGCGAUGGAGGAAAGCCUAAUACAGCAAUACGGCGUGAGUGAAGAAGGACUUAGGGUUGUUGAGCCAUUUUGUUGGGAAAGAAGAGCAGCAGGUUAAUCCCCCGCUGUUAUGACGGUACCCAAAGAAUAAGCACCGGCUAACUUCGUG
rnacentral:rRNA from 1 species